GCAACCAACAACAGCACUACACAACUUCUUCGCAACGAGAUGAUCUACCAAAUAAUUAUCACCCUCGUUAUACUAGCUGCUACACAAGGCUACCCCUCUAACUAUGGUAGUGCAUCAGGCCCUAUACCUUAUGGCUUCAACUACGCUGUGAACGAUGACUACAAAGGAACUAAUUUUGGCCAGAGCGAGAAGUCCGACGGGAACAGCGUCUGGGGAUCCUACACCGUCGCCCUCCCCGACGGCCGCAAAC